GGAGAGGUGGCCGAGUGGACGAAGGCGCUCGACUCGAAAUCGAGUGAGGGUCUAAGAAGCCCUCCGUGGGUUCAAAUCCCACCCUCUCCGCCA
rnacentral:tRNA from 1 species